GGAGCGAGAACAACACUAACAUGAAUGAUCAGUUUUUGUUGUGUUUUAGUUUGUUUUUUUGGCUGGAGAAAAUGCCAUCCGUGCAGGAGAGGAAGGAUUGUGUGGCCGGGAUUUACCAAACCAGGUUUUGAGUUCUCAUUGGGCUGGACAUGUUCUUGGAUCUGGCAACCCUGGUUGGCAGUCUUCAGUCUUGUAGUGUGUGUUUGGCACUAACUGAUGUAAACAGGUUCAGAUGUGAUGCAGUCAGUGAGAUGUGCUCAUGACAGAAAUGUCAGGCACAGAUUGCAGAAACAAUAGAAAAGUUGAGAUCGCAGUUGAUAAAUAUCUGACAGUGAUUUCGGGUGUGGCAGAAGAAGGAGGAAGAAGUGUGUUACUGGAGAAACUGCAGUACAGGACUGGGU